GGGCUGCCGUGGGUGACGGGGGCGCUCCUCGUCUACUACGCCGGGUACGUGUUGCUCGGCGGGGCCCGGCUGGUCACGGCGGCCGGCGGCGCGC
rnacentral:tRNA from 1 species